GGGUAUGUAGCUCAGUGGUAGAGUACAUGUUAAGCACACAUAAGUUCCUGAGUUCAAUCCCCAGUACCUCCA
rnacentral:tRNA from 1 species